GUAGAAGGGGAAAAGAGUGGAAGAGAAAGAAGAAAGAGCCCAGCAGCAAUUAUGGCAAGGAAAACUCCAAAAUCCAAGAGACGUCGCUCUUCUCCAGCUUCCUCCGCCUCUUCUAACGCCAUCAGAAAAAUCUCCGACGGUGAUAAAGAGAAGCGAUCGAAGUCAGCAAUGAAACCGAAGAGGAUACCGAAGAAGAAGAGUGUGAAACUUGAUGCUAAAAAGCCCAAGAAGCCCCCGACUGCUUUCUUCUUCUUCCUGGAGGAUUUUCGUAAGGAUUUUCAAGAGCAGAACCCGGAUGUCAAGUCAAUGCGUGAUAUUGGGAAGGCAUGUGGUGAGAAGUGGAAAACAAUGAAUUAUGAGGUUUGUGUUCACCAUACUUUUCCAGCAUAUGUGCAUAUGUCUUUUUGAUGAGUGUAAUAACCUAGAGGGUGGACUGUGGAGCCUAAGUAUGGUUUCCAAUAAUUGCCAUUGUAUGAUUAAUUUCAUGUAGGCAAAGCUAUAAAUUAGUUGUGAUGGUUGUUUAUCUGAGAUUCGGAGUGGUAUGAGUUACCUGAACUUUUUCUUUUUAAUGUGAAUGUCACAUACAAAGUGAUAGAAUACAAUUGUAACUCAACUAGACAAACUACAUAGCUGUCCCUAGUAUACUGAAACUGUUUUACUUACUAGUCUAGAGUCACUGUAAAUCCUGAAUUCUUCUGUAUGAAUAUACAUGAGUGAUGCCCUACAGCCCUAGAUGAUAAUGGGAAAAAUGACUCUUUCUCACAAAGAACUUUCGGUUCUGUGUAUAACAUUACUUCUAGAGAUCAUAAUCGUGUUGAGACAUACUGAGAUGUCAAAGGUUUUAAUUUGUUACUCAGUAGUAAAUGUUGAAAAAUGAAGAUUACCUACCUUCGCAUCUGAGAAACAUAGGGUUUUAUUACUUAGUAGUUUAGUUUCUGGAGUUUAAGAUGGUUUGAUAGUAACCCAAGUUAUUUUAGUAGUUGAGGCCUAGUGUAUUUAAAAUCUUUAUAUUUCCCACUGAUGUGAGAUCCCACAUGGAAAAAAAAAAAAAAAAAACUCUAUUGCCACAUUAAUGAAGUCGCCCUAGUGAAACUCCAUCUUUACAGCCAUAUCAUCUGCCAAUCAGAAUAGCCUUCUAAUCGAUCGUUUUGCCUGUGAUAGGAAAAGGUUAAAUAUUAUGAUAUCGCCACAGAGAAAAGAGCUGAGUUUGAUAAAGCCAUGGCAGAAUAUAUUAAGAAAAAGGAAAACGGUGAAUGUGAAGAAAUUGAGGAUGACUCUGAGUUUGACGAGUGAGGUUCUAGGAUUGUUGUCUUGGAUAAUCAUUGUUUCGGUAGCAGUAGGAGGUACAUGAGGGGACAAGUUGUAUAUCCACUUAUGAGCCACUUUGGUCAUCUCUUUUAUUGAGGUUAUCUGUCUAUCGUUCUUGUGUAAUUGUGUAAAUUACUACUUGGCAAUUGCAUCUAGGUGAUUUCAGAGAAGAUUUAAUGCUUAAUAUGAAUCAAGUGAAUAAGAAGAAUAUGGUAUCUAUUGAGAAUUGUUACUGUUCCCAAAUGUUUAGCUCCUGGAAUUAAUUGUUUUCCUUGGUUUUAU
rnacentral:misc_RNA from 1 species